GAUGAACGCUGGCGGCGUGCCUAAUACAUGCAAGUCGAGCGAACAGACGAGGAGCUUGCUCCUCUGACGUUAGCGGCGGACGGGUGAGUAACACGUGGAUAACCUACCUAUAAGACUUGGAUAACUUCGGGAAACCGGAGCUAAUACCGGAUAAUAUAUUGAACCGCAUGGUUCAAUAGUGAAAGACGGUUUUGCUGUCACUUAUAGAUGGAUCCGCGCCGCAUUAGCUAGUUGGUAAGGUAACGGCUUACCAAGGCAACGAUGCGUAGCCGACCUGAGAGGGUGAUCGGCCACACUGGAACUGAGACACGGUCCAGACUCCUACGGGAGGCAGCAGUAGGGAAUAUUCCGCAAUGGGCGAAAGCCUGACGGAGCAACGCCGCGUGAGUGAUGAAGGUCUUCGGAUCGUAAAACUCUGUUAUUAGGGAAGAACAAAUGUGUAAGUAACUAUGCACGUCUUGACGGUACCUAAUCAGAAAGCCACGGCUAACUACGUG
rnacentral:rRNA from 1 species